rnacentral:rRNA from 1 species
CAGCAGCCACGGGAAUACGAAGGGUGCAAGCGUUACUCGGAAUUACUGGGCGUAAAGCGUGCGUAGGUGGUGGUUUAAGUCCGUUGUGAAAGCCCUGGGCUCAACCUGGGAAUUGCAGUGGAUACUGGGUCACUAGAGUGUGGUAGAGGAUAGUGGAAUUUCCGGUGUAGCGGUGAAAUGCGUAGAGAUCUGGAGGAAUACCGAUGGCGAAGGCAGCCAUCUGGCCUAAUACUGACGCUGAGGUACGAAAGCAUGGGGAGCAAACAGGAUUAGAUACCCCUGUAGUCCCUGUCUCUUAUAC